rnacentral:rRNA from 1 species
UCAACGGCCGCGGUACCCUAACCGUGCAAAGGUAGCGCAAUCACCUGUCCCUUAACUGAGGACUAGUAUGAAUGGCUAAAUGAGGGCUCAUCUGUCUCCUGCGGCUUGCCAAUGAAAUUGAUCUCUCAGUACAAAAGCUGAGAUAAACACAUAAGACGAAAAGACCCUAUGGAGCUUCAAGCCACAGUACUAAACCACAAAACGUCCCUAGCACUUACUUUCAGUUGGGGCAACUGCGGAGCAAAAUAUAAACUCCAUGCCUAAGCACAUAACAUGCCACCACCCCAGGCCGCCACGCCCACCACCUAACACUUGACCCAGUCUAACUGAUCACCGAACCAAGUUACCCUAGGGAUAACAGCGCCAUCUUCCCCCAAGAGCCCUUAUCCACGGGGAGGCUUACGACCUCGAUGUUGGAUCAGGACCCCCCGGCGGUGCAGCCGCUGCCAACGGUUCGUUUGUUCAACGACUAACGUCCU